rnacentral:rRNA from 1 species
GUAGUGGACGAAAAAUAACGAUGCAGAACUCAUUCCGAGGCUCUGCAAUCGGAAUGAGUACACUCUAAAUCAUUUAACGAGUAUCCAUUGGAGGACAAGUCUGGUGCCAGCACCCGCGGUAAUUCCAGCUCCAAUAGCGUAUAUUAAAGUUGUUGCGGUUAAAAAGCUCGUAGUUGGAUCUGUGUUUCACGCUGACGGUUCACCGUUUUGUCGGUGUUUAACUGUCAUGUCGUGGUACGUCCUGCCGGUUGGCAUGUUUGUUGGUGCGCUUUCGGGUGUGCCAGCGGCUGCCAGUUCCAAUCCUGUCGCGGUGCUCUUCACCGAGUGUCGAGGCGGGCCGGCACGUUUACCUUGAACAAAUUUGAGUGCUUCAAGCAGGCUAUAAUUGCCGGAAAACUGUGUGCAUGGAAUAAUAUAAUAGGACCGCGGUUCUAUUUUGUUGGUUUUCAGAGUCCGAGGUAAUGAUUAAUAGGGACCGGCGGGGGCAUUAGUAUUGCGACGUUAGAGGUGAAAUUCUUGGAUCGUCGCAAGACUAACCUAAGCGAAAGCAUUUGCCAAGGAUGCUUCCAUUAAUCAAGAACGAAAGUUAGAGGUUCGAAGGCGAUCAGAUACCGCCCUAGUUCUAACCAUAAACGAUGCCAGCCAGCGAUCCGUCGCAGUUCCUCCGAUGACUCGACGGGCAGCUUCCGGGAAAUUAAAGCAUUUGGGUUCCGGGGGAAGUAUGGUUGCAAAGCUGAAACUUAAAGGAAUUGACGGAAAGGCACCACCAGGAGUGGAGCCUGCGGCUUAAUUUGACUCAACACGGGAAAUCUCACCAGGCCAGAACACUAGAUGGAUUGACAGAUUGAGAGCUCUUUCUUGAUUUAGUGGGUGGUGGUGCAUGGCCG